CAUCUAUUCUGCUCAGACAGCUUUCACUGUACCUGUGGCAUCUUUUUCUUGUAGGUAUUGUUGACGUCGUUUUGUUUCACUAUUACUGUCUUUCUGUCUAGGAUAUUUUCUAAUACGUUCACCCUGGCUCUCUUCUCCUUCCCUCAUUCUGUUCUCCUUCUCAUCUGCUCUCCUUCUCCACUCUUUCUCCUCUCCUCUCUUCUCUCUAGGUAUCAGUCAGUUACAUCUCCUCUCUUCUCUCUAGGUAUCAGUCAGUUACAUCUCCUCUCCUCUCCUCUCUAGGUAUCAGUCAGUUACAUCUCCUCUCUUCUCUCUAGGUAUCAGUCAGUUACAUCUCCUCUCCUCUCUUCUCUCUAGGUAUCAGUCAGUUACAUCUCCUCUCCUCUCUCUAGGUAUCAGUCAGUUACAUCUCCUCUCCUCUCUCUAGGUAUCAGUCAGUUACAUCUCCUCUCCUCUCUAGGUAUCAGUCAGUUACAUCUCUUCUCUCUAGGUAUCAGUCAGUUACAUCUCCUCUCUUCUCUCUAGGUAUCAGUCAGUUACAUCUCCUCUCCUCUCUUCUCUCUAGGUAUCAGUCAGUUACAUCUCCUCUCUUCUCUCUAGGUAUCAGUCAGUUACAUCUCCUCUCCUCUCUUCUCUCUAGGUAUCAGUCAGUUACAUCUCCUCUCCUCUCUUCUCUCUAGGUAUCAGUCAGUUACAUCUCCUCUCUAGGUAUCAGUCAGUUACAUCUCCUCUCUUCUCUCUAGGUAUCAGUCAGUUACAUCUCCUCUCUUCUCUCUAGGUAUCAGUCAGUUACAUCUCCUCUCCUCUCUCUAGGUAUCAGUCAGUUACAUCUCCUCUCCUCUCUUCUCUCUAGGUAUCAGUCAGUUACAUCUCCUCUCCUCUCUAGGUAUCAGUCAGUUACAUCUCCUCUCCUCUCUAGGUAUCAGUCAGUUACAUCUCCUCUCCUCUCUAGGUAUCAGUCAGUUACAUCUCCUCUCUUCUCUCUAGGUAUCAGUCAGUUACAUCUCCUCUCUUCUCUCUAGGUAUCAGUCAGUUACAUCUCCUCUCCUCUUUCUAGGUAUCAGUCAGUUACAUCUCCUCUCUUCUCUCUAGGUAUCAGUCAGUUACAUCUCCUCUCUUCUCUCUAGGUAUCAGUCAGUUACAUCUCCUCUCUCUAGGUAUCAGUCAGUUACAUCUCCUCUCCUCUCUCUAGGUAUCAGUCAGUUACAUCUCUUCUCUCUAGGUAUCAGUCAGUUACAUCUCCUCUCCUCUCUCUAGGUAUCAGUCUGUUACAUCUCCUCUCUUCUCUCUAGGUAUCAGUCAGUUACAUCUCCUCUCCUCUCUCUAGGUAUCAGUCAGUUACAUCUCCUCUCCUCUCUCUAGGUAUCAGUCAGUUACAUCUCCUCUCCUCUCUCUAGGUAUCAGUCAGUUACAUCUCUUCUCCUCUCUUCUCUCUAGGUAUCAGUCAGUUACAUCUCCUCUCUUCUCUCUAGGUAUCAGUCAGUUACAUCUCCUCUCUUCUCUCUAGGUAUCAGUCAGUUACAUCUCCUCUCCUCUCUUCUCUCUAGGUAUCAGUCAGUUACAUCUCCUCUCUUCUCUCUAGGUAUCAGUCAGUUACAUAUCCUCUCUUCUCUCUAGGUAUCAGUCAGUUACAUCUCCUCUCUUCUCUCUAGGUAUCAGUCAGUUACAUCUCCUCUCUUCUCCUCUCUAGGUAUCAGUCAGUUACAUCUCCUCUCUUCUCCUCUCUAGGUAUCAGUCAGUUACAUCUCCUCUCCUCUCUUCUCUCUAGGUAUCAGUCAGUUACAUCUCCUCUCCUCUCCUCUAGGUAUCAGUCAGUUACAUCUCCUCUCCUCUCCUCUAGGUAUCAGUCAGUUACAUCUCCUCUCUUCUCUCUAGGUAUCAGUCAGUUACAUCUCCUCUCUUCUCUCUAGGUAUCAGUCAGUUACAUCUCCUCUCCUCUCCUCUCUAGGUAUCAGUCAGUUACAUCUCCUCUCCUCUCUAGGUAUCAGUCAGUUACAUCUCCUCUCUUCUCUCUAGGUAUCAGUCAGUUACAUCUCCUCUCUUCUCUCUAGGUAUCAGUCAGUUACAUCUCCUCUCUAGGUAUCAGUCAGUUACAUCUCCUCUCUUCUCUCUAGGUAUCAGUCAGAGUUACAUCUCCUCUCUUCUCUCUAGGUAUCAGUCAGUUACAUCUCCUCUCUUCUCUCUAGGUAUCAGUCAGAGUUACAUCUCCUCUCUUCUCUCUAGGUAUCAGUCAGAGUUACAUCUCCUCUCUUCUUUCUAGGUAUCAGUCAGUUACAUCUCCUCUCUUCUCUCUAGGUAUCAGUCAGUUACAUCUCCUCUCUUCUCUCUAGGUAUCAGUCAGUUACAUCUCCUCUCUUCUCUCUAGGUAUCAGUCAGUUACAUCUCCUCUCUUCUCUCUAGGUAUCAGUCAGUUACAUCUCCUCUCCUCUCUAGGUAUCAGUCAGUUACAUCUCCUCUCCUCUCUUCUCUCUAGGUAUCAGUCAGUUACAUCUCCUCUCCUCUCUCUAGGUAUCAGUCAGUUACAUCUCCUCUCUUCUCUCUAGGUAUCAGUCAGUUACAUCUCCUCUCUUCUCUCUAGGUAUCAGUCAGUUACAUCUCCUCUCUUCUCUCUAGGUAUCAGUCAGAGUUACAUCUCCUCUCUUCUCUCUAGGUAUCAGUCAGAGUUACAUCUCCUCUCUUCUCUCUAGGUAUCAGUCAGAGUUACAUCUCCUCUCCUCUCUAGGUAUCAGUCAGUUACAUCUCCUCUCCUCUCUCUAGGUAUCAGUCAGAGUUACAUCUCCUCUCCUCUCUAGGUAUCAGUCAGUUACAUCUCCUCUCCUCUCUCUAGGUAUCAGUGAGAGUUACAUCUCCUC